rnacentral:lncRNA from 1 species
UAUACUUUUAUGCAUCACUGAUUUGAUGCGUUUUCGUAAUUGUUAGUUUCAUCCGUAAAUUAUGGGCAGCCAUGACAGGAAGGUUGAUGCUUGGCAUUGUUGCGUCACAAUACAAAAUGCCUCUGAUGACGUAAUGAUCAAACACCAAACUGCCACUGGUGUAAUGACGGAUUAUUAGCUGAUUGAACUACGAGGUGAACGGUAUUCAAGACUAGAAGGAGCAUUCUGAUAAGAACACUGCAGACCAGUGAAUGAUGAAUAGGAGGCCCAACCUGAAUGGGUCUGGAGGACCAAGGUCCAUCGGUGUUCCACUACUCUGUCCUUCUAACAGAGUGCUGCUGGAGAGAGAAGAGGUCAGCCAGGACCCAGUGAUGGCCUCCUCUUUCAGGCCCUCAGCGUUCCCCUCCCUGCAUGUUGUGCCUCGGCCUCCCCCUCCUGACGACGUCUGGUCCAAGAGGCCCACAGCUGCCCACAGAAAGAGGAGAGACCUCCAGUCCCUAGUUCCUGUCCAGGAUGGA